UCCCGGUUCGUCUAAUGGUAGGACAGCAGACUCUGACUCUGCUUAUCGUGGUUCGAGUCCAUGACCGGGAG
rnacentral:tRNA from 1 species